CAGGGCGGCAGCCUACACAUGCAAGUCGAGCGAGACCUUCGGGUCUAGCGGCGGACGGGUGAGUAACGCGUGGGAACGUACCCUUUUCUGCAGGAUAGCCACUGGAAACGGUGAGUAAUACUGCAUACGCCCUUCGGGGGAAAGAUUUAUCGGAGAAGGAUCGGCCCGCGUUAGAUUAGGUAGUUGGUGGGGUAAUGGCCUACCAAGCCUACGAUCUAUAGCUGGUUUGAGAGGAUGAUCAGCCACACUGGGACUGAGACACGGCCCAGACUCCUACGGGAGGCAGCAGUGGGGAAUCUUAGACAAUGGGGGCAACCCUGAUCUAGCCAUGCCGCGUGAGUGAUGAAGGCCUUAGGGUCGUAAAGCUCUUUCGCUGGGGAAGAUAAUGACGGUACCCAGUAAAGAAACCCCGGCUAACUCCGUGCCAGCAGCCGCGGUAAU
rnacentral:rRNA from 1 species